UGAUGCUGGACGAGGGCGUGGUCGCCGAGGCCAAGGACAUCGACCUGUGCCUGAUCCUCGGUGCGGGCUGGCCGUUCCACCUGGGCGGCAUCAC
rnacentral:tRNA from 1 species